rnacentral:rRNA from 1 species
AUACGGAGGGUGCAAGCGUUAUUCGGAAUCACUGGGCGUAAAGGGUGCGUAGGCGGUUUGAUAAGUCUGAUGUGAAAUCCUAUGGCUCAACCAUAGAACUGCAUUGGAAACUGUCAGACUAGAAUACUGAAGGGGCAGAUGGAAUUAGUGGUGUAGGGGUAAAAUCCGUAGAUAUCACUAGGAAUACCGAAAGCGAAAGCGAUCUGCUGUGAAGUUAUUGACGCUGAGGCACGAAAGCGUGGGGAGCACACGGGAUUAGAAACCCUAGUAGUCC